UACGUAGGGUGCGAGCGUUGUCCGGAAUUAUUGGGCGUAAAGAGCUCGUAGGCGGUGUGUCGCGUCGGUCGUGAAAACUCACAGCUCAGCUGUGGGCGUGCGGGCGAUACGGGCAGACUUGAGUACUGCAGGGGAGACUGGAAUUCCCAGUGUAGCGGUGAAAUGCGUAGAUAUUGGGAGGAACACCAGUGGCGAAGGCGGCUCACUGGACCGGAACUGACGCUGAGGCGCGAAAGCUAGGGUAGCAAACGGG
rnacentral:rRNA from 1 species